rnacentral:rRNA from 1 species
UACGGGGGGGGCAAGCGUUGUUCGGAAUUACUGGGCGUAAAGGGCUCGUAGGCGGCCAACUAAGUCCGACGUGAAAUCCCCAGGCUUAACCUGGGAACUGCGUCGGAUACUGGAUGGCUUGAAUCCGGGAGAGGGAUGCGGAAUUCCAGGUGUAGCGGUGAAAUGCGUAGAUAUCGUAAGGAAGACCAGUGGCGAAGGCGGGUCUCUGGACAGUUCCUGACGCUGAGACGCGAAAGCGUGGGGAGCGAACAGG